UUACGGUCAUACCGCAAUGAAACGCCGUUUCUAGUAAGAUCACUGAAGUUAAGCAACGUCGAGCCUGGUCAGUAUCUAGAUGGGUGAGCGCUUGGGAAUACCAGGUAUUGUAA